rnacentral:rRNA from 1 species
CAAUAGCGUAUAUUAAAGUUGUUGCAGUUAAAACGCUCGUAGUCGGAUUUCGGGGCGGGUCCGCCGGUCUGCCGAUGGGUACGCACUGGCGGGCGCGUCCUUCCUUCCGGAGACUGGCCCUACUCUUAGCUGAGCGGGGUCGGGAGUCGGAUCGUUUACUUUGAAAAAAUCAGAGUGUUUCAAGCAGGCAGCUCGCUCUUGCAUGGAUUAGCAUGGGAUAAUGAAAUAGGACUUUGGUGCUAUUUUGUUGGUUUCGAACACCGAAGUAAUGAUUAACAGGGACAGUCAGGGGCACUCGUAUUCCGCCGAGAGAGGUGGAAUUCUCAGACCAGCGGAAGACGAACCACUGCGAAAGCAUUUGCCAGGGAUGUUUUCACUGA